UUGCCUCGUGCCAUCGCAGGCUACCCAGAAGAGGUGGAUUGCAUCCGAACCACGCUCCGGCUGCUGCACCAUGGAUCCCUACAAGCUGCUCAGGGUCUCCCUCAAUCCCGACGGCUCCCUCACUCGAUCCGAUCUCAUCCCUCUCUUGCCCCCCUCCGAUCCCGCAGUCCUCUGUCAGGACCUCCCUCUCAAUCCCGCCCGCGGCACCACCUUCCGCCUCUUCCUCCCCCGCCAACCCCCUCCUGCUCCCAAGCUCCCCCUCAUCCUUUACUUCCACGGCGGCGGAUUCAUCCUCUUCCGUGCCGCCUCCGGACCCAUCCACGCUGCCUGCGCUCGCCUGGCUGCCUCCCUCCCUGCCAUUGUACUUUCCGUCGACUACCGCUUGGCCCCCGAGCACCGCCUCCCUGCCGCCUACGACGAUGCCCUCGACGCCUUCCUCUGGCUCCGCUACCAAGCGGCGGAUGGCCGGGGCGACCUCCCCUUCCGCUAUUGCGCUGACUUCUCCCGUUGCUUCCUCAUGGGCACCAGCGCCGGUGGCAACAUCGCCUUCUACGCCGCCGUCCGUGCGGCGGCAUUGACGGACAGCUUGCAUCCGGUAAAGAUAGCGGGGUUGGUGUUGGACCAGCCCUACUUCGGGGGAGUGGAGCGGACGGAGUCGGAGGAGAGGGCGAAGGAGGACAAGAUCAUACCUUUGGUGGCGAACGACCUGAUGUGGGAGCUGGCACUGCCGGAGGGCGCGAACAGGGACCACGAGUACUGCAACCCGAUGGCGAACGAGGCGAAGCUUCUGGCGGCGGUCGGGAACUUGCCGCGGUGCCUGGUGAGGGGCCACAUUGGAGAUCCGCUGUAUGAUAGACAGAGGGAAUUCGCGGGGAUGUUGGAGAGGAGAGGGGUGAGUGUGGUGGCGAGGAUGGAGUCGGAAGGGCUUCACGGGAUGGAGAUGUUUGAUGCCAGCAAGGAAGAGGAGUUGGUGGCAGAUGUUAGAAGAUUCCUCUACUUUGAAGAUGGUGGAGGAUCUGCUGGUGUUGGCUUGCAGAGGCUCUGAGCAUCAUUUGGCUUUUGAGAUUGCCUCUUCACCAGACUGGAAUAUGGUUGUUGUAUCCAGAUUUCGAUUGAAGUUUUUCAUGCAAUUCAACUUUUUGUGAAUUAUUCGGGACUCCAAGUUAUCUCGGCACUGCUCCCCAUCAGAUUAGGUUGAAGCCUCAUGAGGACCUAUUCAUAUCUAACGCAUAACAUGAACUGAGUGACACGUAGCUAUGUGCUUGUACUGAUAUUGCCCAAAGUUAAAUGAAUACAUGUGGUUGUGCAACGUCUAAAAGCUUGUAAAAAACGUUUGUGGUGUGACAACACUAUGAUAAGAGCGUGUUUGUUGGCCUUCUUGGUUGUGAUGCUAAGAGGAUAAAUGAGGUCUACCUCAAAUUAGAUUUCAACUGUUUUAGUCGUCGAAGGAUUUCAUGGAAUAGAAUUCUAGAUUAUGAAACAUUAAGAAUA